UGAGCGCGGAGCGGGCGUGCGUGGCGCGGGGAACAGCGGCGGCGGGCCACCCGAGGGCGUAGACCGGGAUGCAGAGGGUGAGAGGGCUCUCCUGGGCCCGUCUAGGUCCCUGGGAUCUGCCUGCGUGUUUCUUGUCCCGGGUAUUUCUCCCGGCCUUUACCUGAGCCUGACCCUGGACCCUGCUGACGUGCUUCUGUUAAUGUUCACCUCCUGGCCAGUCUGCGCCUCAGAACGUCUGAGUUUCCCUGUGUUUCUGUGUUUGCGUCUUUGCCCUUAGGCCUUAAUUAAGAUUAAUUUCUCUUCCUUGAUGGCCACCUGUCUCUCCCUGUAUGAAGAAGGGUGUAUUCUGCUCCUUCUCCCCUGCUUUAUCCCUGCCCUCUGCCCGCCUCCACUGUCUCCCCACUUUGUCUACCUCUGACUCCCCAGGAGGCCAUUGCUUAGGGCCUGGGAAUAUGCAUUUCUAAAGCAGCAUGUUGAUCUUUCCUCCGUGUAAUAUCUGAGUUCACAUGUCCCGGGGUGUGUUCCUUCUGCAUUCUUCCUAGGAUCUCUCUGUGUGUAUCUAAGCCUAUGUCUCAGCCCUUUGCAUUUUCUCAUAACAAUUUUUUUUUCUGAUUUUUUUUUUCAGGGAAAUCUUAGUUCUCUGGGUCUCUGAGGCCAAAGCUAAGGGGACUAUCUUUAUGCCUUUCCAUCGCUUCAAAGAAUGCCAAAAUAUUGCAUAGUACAGCCACGCAACACAUACACACAGUAAGAAUCCCUCCCAUAAGGGACAGAUUCACUCAUUACACCAAGGGUUUCUGUGGUGAAAUACAUCAAGUAGAAUCUUAAUAGGCUUUCCGACUAUUUUGUUCUUAGGAGUACCAUGAUCUAUAAAACCAAAUAGCUAGUCAGUUAGACCAUUUUUAGAUUACUGUUCCCAUCGGCUGCUACACUGAUCCCAGCAUGACCAGUACUUGACUCACGCCUACCAGUACUUGGAAGGGGCCUUAGGAUAGAAUGCCAUUAAGGCAGAAUAGUCUCUUUUCUAAUGGGAUCCUGAAGCAUCUCUAUGUUCAAAGGAAGUGCUGCUUUGGCCACAUUAUUCUGUGGGGUUAAACCCUAAACAUUCAGCAGCCUUUAGCUACUCUAGGCUGCUAAGUAAGGGGUGGGAAGCCAUGGGGAAAACCAGGACUCCAUGGAGUUCUGGUAUGAAAGAGCAGGCCUUGCAAGUACCAUAAGCUCAGCAAGAGAUAAGUAAUGGGGAGGGCAGUUAGUCAAAAAGUUUAAGCUAGAACUGCCUAUCUCUCAGCCAGGAGAGAGAAUUCAGCCUAGGGUGUGGGAGAUCCCUUGAUUUCUAAAGGUUGAGCAGUUAGUAAGCUUUUGAUCCUUGAGCAGAAGUUGCUGGUCUCUGCUCUGUUCCAUACUGUCUCAUGGGAAUGGGCAGUGUGCUCAGAGAUGUGGUCACUGCCUUCUAUACCAGACUGGCUAUUAUUUCUGCUCCACUCUGGCUGCCCUGAUCCUCCUCCUACAACUCUUUAGCCCUUUGUUUUCUUUGAAAGUCAGGUCUCCUAGAUGUGACCUCUUAUUCUGCCAGCUCUGACCUAUCAGCAUUUUGUUUUUAUUUCUUUAAGUCCACACUUGAUUCGAUGACCUCUGGGUCAUUGAGAGUUAGGCAUACAAGGCUCGACCUGAUUUUUCAACUAGCAGUGAGACCUAGGAAAGUUAAAACUUUUCACUUAGGGAGUUGACCCUUCCCAUGGAGGGUUCCAGUCACAGGAUAUUUGCCUAUGGGGACCAAUCUAACACUCCAGGCUCCUCUUCCUUUCACAGUGCAAGUCAGUCUUCUCUUUUUUCUUCUUUUCCAUUUCUUCUUCUUCUUUUUUCAAUGCCCACAUCCAUGGCAUAUGGAAGUUCCCAGGACAGGGAUUGAAUCUAAUUCAAUGCCAGAUCCUUUAACCCACUGCCUGGGCCGGGGUCAAACCCAUGACCUGAACUGAAGCCUCUGCCAGCAGAUUCUUAACCUACUGUACCACACUGGGAACUCCUUUUCCAUUUCUUGAUGCUUGCUUUAGGGGAGUGGGCUUCUUAAUCAGGCCUGUCAUGCUCUAUCAAGAUCUUGACACUUUAUUUGGGCCAUUUUCUCUAUAAAGGCCCAGAGGAGAGAGAAUGAUACAGUGGAAAGCAGAUAGGGUUUUGAUUCAGUUAGGAUUUGAAUCCUGUCCUCACCACAUACUUAAUGCAAAAGUUUGGCAUAUUAACCUUUCUGUGCUUCAUAUUCAUCUUUCUAUGCUUCAUUUUCUUCCUGUCCUAAGUUGGAAUACUAAUAUUUAACAGUAGCUGGCUCCAUGGGUUGUUGUGGUGAUUCAGCAGGGGUAUAUAUAGCAUCACCUUAGUACAGUGUAGAAAUUGAUUGAUAGGGGUUGGUUUCCUUUCCUAACAGUGCCUGAUGUUAUGCAUGUUGAAUGAAUAAAAUUACACUAACAAGAUGAUAAGAGCUAGGAAAGAUAAACCAAUUCAAAGUAAUUUUAAAAUGAGAGCGGUAUUAGACAGGGGAAAAAUAAAAGGUUUUGGUUUGGGGGAACUUUUUUUUUUUUUUUAAUUGGAGCCAGUGCCUUUGACAUCCAGCCAUGAUGGGGGAAGGACAGAGAACUGUCCUGUGUAGUUAUAGGUGUUGAGAGCAAAGGGAUUCAGUGACUUUUUUGAAGGAAGAACUCGUCAGAGUUCUCCCUGCGGCUGUCACUGCCCUGACAACUUGUCUUCCUGGUGCCACCAUCCCAGGUUCUGCUGUAUAGCCUCCCACUUGGUUAACUCUGACCCUCAGCUGAUUCAGUCCUCAUUCUAUGAAUACCGUUCUCACCUUUCUAAUUCUGCUUUUUGCCAGAUCUUGUGAGUCAUCCUUGAAUUUUUUUGAACAUACUUUGAACUCCAUUCUCUUCUUCACUUGGCUGGCCAUAGUCUCUCUAUCUUUCUCUUUUAAAUCCACCCUGACUUGGCCAGCAUGGUCCUUAACUAUCCUGUUCCAUUCUGAUGAGUUUUUCUUUCUCAUCCUUGGUUUCCCUUUCUUUCGUUUCUUAAUCUUUGCACAUUGGUGCUAGACUAAAUAUAAUGCUGUUCAAAGUAUAAAUAGUAAUUGCCUCAUUCUUUUUUUAAAAAUUCAUUUACUUAGCAGGCAUUUUUAGAAACCAGAUAUACAAAAACCAGGUCUGUACCCCAAAGAGUUCUCAAUCUGAUUGAAGAGAGAAACAACUAGCUAAUAAUGACAGCAAAGUGUCAUGAGUAUUAUGCUGAGAUCUACAUAAAGGGUGAUGCAAGCAUGAACGAGAGAGCACUGCUUGGGGAAUAAGAGAAGGCUUACCGGAUAAGGUGAUAUUUGAGUUGACUUGUCUCAAAAAAAUACUAUGUUAAGUGGUAGAGAGGAAAGUAGAGGAAAAGCAUACCAAUAGUGGGAAAAGGACAUAAAAAAAUAGAAGCAUGAACACAUUCCAUUCUAGGAAGAACAAAUAGUGUGGGCUUAACAUGAAGUGUGGUAAGGAAAAGGGAGAGAAGAAAAAGAAAAAAAAGUGAUAACUAUGUAAAGUGAUGAAUUAGGUUGAUUGUAGUGAUAAUUUCACAGUAUAUACACAUCAAGUUGUACUCUUUAAAUAUAUUCAUUUUUUUUGUCAAUUACUAAAAAAAAUGAGUCUGCAAAUAAGGAGUAUAGAGUCUAAACUCAGUAAGUAGCAUGUGUGACCUGCAAGCCCCUUCAUUUUCUGCCUGCCUGACUUCACACUCUCCUCAGGUCUCUGGAGGCUCUUAGUUCUUGAAAUUUAUCCUUUAGGGGAUAUUUUUACCUUGGGUGCAUAUAUCAUAGGAAAAUAUACAUGCCUCUGCAUCUUACUCAAUUGAGCAUCUCCAAAAUAUAUGGAAAAUUAAGUCUGAGAGUGAUCGUGUAUUUCAUAGAAUGGUUACAGCCAUGAUAGAGGCCAUGUUGUAAAGUGACAGCAGGAUUUUAUCCUGCACUGCAAGAAGCAAUUCCUGGAAGUGCCAUUAUUCAUUUUGCCUUGCUUUUCUUGGGUAUUUGGUUUUGGGAUGCUUCAGAGUUCUCCCACCCCAACCCAAAUCUUGGAAGAUAAGAAUGGGGAUGGAGAGGGGGAUGGUCCCUGUUUGCAGAGAGAAUAAAACCAAUGAUGUUCAUUUAGUGUAGUUCUGGCUCUCCGGCAAUGAUUCCCAAACCUGGCAAAUCAGCAAAAUAUCCAGGGAAGAUUUUUUUUUUAAUUUUUAUGGAAGUAUCGUUGAAUUAUAAGGUUGUGAUGAUUUCUGCUGUACAACAAAGUGAUUCAGUUAUACAUGUACCAGGGAAUAUAUUUUUCUUUGUUAUUGUUUGUUUUUAAGUGUCUGAUGUGAUUAUGAUAAGAAUCUAGAUUGGGGAACCUUGAUAUGAAAGCAGUGGUUCUUACACCCUCACACCAGAUACAAAAUAAACUCAAAAUCGUUUAAAGACUUAAAUACAAGAUAUGACACCAUAAAACAUUCUCAGACAUAAAUUGUGCCAAUAUUUUCUUAGGUCAGUCUCCAAAGGCAAUACAAAUAAAAGCAAAAAUAAACAAAUGGGACCUAAUCAACUUAUAAGUUUUGUACAAAAAAGGAAACCAGGAACAAAACAAAGACAACCUAUAACUGGGAGAAAAUAUUUUCCAAAUGAUAUGACCGACAGGGCUUAAUUUCCAAAAUAUACAAAGAGCUCAUAUAACUCAAUAACAAACAAACCAAUCAAAAAAUGGGCAGAAGACCUAAACAGAUAUUUCUCCAAAAAAGACAUAUGGAAGGGCAAUAGGAACAUGAAAAGAUAAUUAUCAUCACUAAUUAUUAGAAAAAUGCAAAUCAAAACAUAAAAGACUGAAUAGCCAAAGCAAUCCUGAAAAAGAAAAGUGGAGCUGGAGGAAUUAGGCUCCCUGACUUCAGAUUGCCCUACAAAGCUAUAGUCAUCAAAAUAGUGUGGUACUGGCACAGAAACAAAUGUAGAUCAACAGAACAGGAUAGAAAGCCCCAAAAUAAACCCAAGUACCUAUGGUGCAUUAAUCUAUGACAAAGGAGGCAAGAAUAUAAAACGGAGUAAGACAAUCUCUUCAAUAUGUGGUGCUGGGAAAACAGGACAGCUACAUGACAAAGAAAUGAAAUUAGAACAUCCUCUAACACCAUACACGAAAAUAAACUCAAAAUGGAUUAAAGACCUAAAUGUAAGACUGGGUACUAUAAAACUCUUAGAGGAACACUAAGGCUGAACACUCUUUGACUUAAACUGCAGCAAUAUCUUCUCAGAUCCACUGCCUAGAGUAAUGAAAACAAACAAAUGAGACCUAAUUAAACUUAAAAAGUUUUUGUGCAGCAAAGGAAACCAUAAGCAAAAUGAAAAGACAACACACCACACAGAGUAGGAGAAAAUAUUUACAACUGACAAGGGAUUAAUCUCCAAAAUAUACAAACACCUCCUGCAAUUCAAUACUAAAACAAACAAACAAACAAACAAACAAACAAAAACCCCAACCAACCCAAUAGAAAAUAUGGGCAGGGCUAGAUAGACAUUUCUCCAAAGAAGACAUAUAGAUGGCCAAAAAACAAAAAUAAAAAC
rnacentral:lncRNA from 1 species